CCUACGGGAGGCUGCAGUGAGGAAUAUUGGUCAAUGGGCUUACGCCUGAACCAGCCAAGUCGCGUGAGGGAAGACUGCCCUAUGGGUUGUAAACCUCUUUUGUCAGGGAGCAACGCCGGCUACGUGUAGCCGGACUGAGAGUACCUGCAGAAAAAGCAUCGGCUAACUCCGUGCCAGCAGCCGCGGUAAUACGGAGGAUGCGAGCGUUAUCCGGAUUUAUUGGGUUUAAAGGGUGCGUAGGCGGAAUGCCAAGUCAGCGGUAAAAUCGCGGGGCUCAACCUCGCUCCGCCGUUGAAACUGGCGUUCUGGAGUGGGCGAGAAGUAUGCGGAAUGCGUGGUGUAGCGGUGAAAUGCAUAGAUAUCACGCAGAACUCCGAUUGCGAAGGCAGCAUACCGGCGCCCAAUUGACGCUGAAGCACGAAAGCGUGGGUAUCGAACAGGAUUAGAUACCCUUGUAGUC
rnacentral:rRNA from 1 species